ACCCUUUAAAGAAAGCGUAAUAGCUCACUAGUCGAGUCGGCCUGCGCGGAAGAUGUAACGGGGCUAAAACUAUGUGCCGAAGCUGCGGAUGUAUACUUUGUAUACGUGGUAGGGGAGCGUUCUGUAAGCCGAUGAAGGUGUGUUGAGAAGCAUGCUGGAGGUAUCAGAAGUGCGAAUGCUGACGUGAGUAACGACAAAACGGGUGAAAAACCCGUUCGCCGAAAGACCAAGGGUUCCAGUCCAACGUUAAUCGGGGCUGGGUGAGUCGACCCCUAAGGCGAGGCCGAAAGGCGUAGUCGAUGGGAAAAUGGUUAAUAUUCCAUUACUUCUGUGUAAUGCGAUGAGAGGACGGAGAAGGCUAAAUCAGCCUGGCGUUGGUUGUCCAGGUGAAAGGAUGUAGGCAUGUAUCUUAGGCAAAUCCGGGGUACUCUAUGCUGAGAUCUGAUAGCAAGCUGUACUUGUACAGCGAAGUGGUUGAUGCCAUGCUUCCAGGAAAAGUCUCUAAGCUUCAGUUACACAGGAAUCGUACCCGAAACCGACACAGGUGGUCAGGUCGAGUAGACCAAGGCGCUUGAGAGAACUCUGCUGAAGGAACUAGGCAAAAUGGUACCGUAACUUCGGGAGAAGGUACGCUGUUGUUGGUGAUGGAACUCGCUUCCUGAGCUGACGACAGCCGCAGAAACCAGGCCGCUGCAACUGUUUAUUAAAAACAUAGCACUCUGCAAACACGAAAGUGGACGUAUAGGGUGUGAUGCCUGCCCGGUGCUGGAAGGUUAAUUGAUGGGGUUAGCGUAAGCGAAGCUCUUGAUCGAAGCCCCAGUAAACGGCGGCCGUAACUAUAACGGUCCUAAGGUAGCGAAAUUCCUUGUCGGGUAAGUUCCGACCUGCACGAAUGGCAUAAUGAUGGCGGCGCUGUCUCCAGCAGAGGCUCAGUGAAAUCGAAAUCGCUGUGAAGAUGCAGUGUACCCGCGGCUAGACGGAAAGACCCCGUGAACCUUUACUGCAGCUUGACACUGAACUUUGACCUUACUUGUGUAGGAUAGGUGGGAGGCUUUGAAGCUGGAACGCUAGUUCCAGUGGAGCCGUCCUUGAAAUACCACCCUGGUAAUGUUGAGGUUCUAACUCUGUCCCGUGAUCCGGGACGAGGACCGUGUCUGGUGGGUAGUUUGACUGGGGCGGUCUCCUCCUAAAGAGUAACGGAGGAGUACGAAGGUGCGCUCAGCGUGGUCGGAAAUCACGCGUAGAGUAUAAAGGCAAAAGCGCGCUUAACUGCGAGACCCACAAGUCGAGCAGGUACGAAAGUAGGUCUUAGUGAUCCGGUGGUUCUGUAUGGAAGGGCCAUCGCUCAACGGAUAAAAGGUACUCUGGGGAUAACAGGCUGAUACCGCCCAAGAGUUCAUAUCGACGGCGGUGUUUGGCACCUCGAUGUCGGCUCAUCUCAUCCUGGGGCUGAAGCAGGUCCCAAGGGUAUGGCUGUUCGCCAUUUAAAGAGGUACGCGAGCUGGGUUUAGAACGUCGUGAGACAGUUCGGUCCCUAUCUACCGUGGGCGCUGGAAAUUUGAGAGGAUCUGCUCCUAGUACGAGAGGACCAGAGUGGACGAACCUCUGGUGUACCGGUUGUGACGCCAGUCGCAUCGCCGGGUAGCUAUGUUCGGAAGGGAUAACCGCUGAAAGCAUCUAAGCGGGAAGCCUACCUCAAGAUAAGAUUUCCCUAGGACUUUAUGUCCUCUAAAGAGCCGUUCGAGACUAGGACGUUGAUAGGUUGGAUGUGGAAGCAUAGUGAUAUGUGAAGCUGACCAAUACUAAUUGCUCGUGAGGCUUGACUAUACAACACCCAAGCAGUUG
rnacentral:rRNA from 1 species